CUUGGAAUGAAAACGCUGAUGUCAGCAGUAGUCUUGCGAAUGAAGAUACUUUGCGCAGCAUCACCCUCCAUGGCUUCGGCAAUCCGGCCAUUGUAAAUGGGGUCAUUCACUGGCUUCUACAUCCUAGAGAAAAUAACGGUAUGCUGGCACUAUCCUUUGAUUUAAGCAAUAAUUCAUUCGGAGAGUUAAUGCUGCCUGAAUGUUUCGAUCCGACGGAACGGAUAGCAGCGAUAUUGUCCAUUUCAGUGUUCAAGGACUCUCUUUCUUUCAAUGUCCUUAAGGAUUAUGGCGGAAAUUAUGUUAGUGAGGUAUGGGUGAUGAGCCAAUAUGGUGCGAGGGAAUCAUGGGACAAACAAUACCAGAUUGAAAUGCUCGAUAUAGCAAGGCCGGUGGUUUUUAGGAGUAAUGGAGAGAUAUUAAUGGCAGGAUAUGCAAAUUCUCGGUUAGUUUCAUGUGAUCCUCAGACACAGGAAAUUCAUGAUACGGGGCUGGAGGUGUUACUUGAUGACUACGCUGAUUAUUUUGUUGAGAGUCUCGCUUUACUUGAUAGAUCAAACUAGACUCGGUAGCAAAAGGCUGCUGGACCUGCAACAACUAGUGGAGCUUAGUAAAAGAACAAAAGAGGCACUUGAGAGGUUGAAUUUGAAAAGGAAAACAGUAUUCUAUAAAAGACAUCAGUUUUAUAUGUUAAUGUUUCUUAACAUUUACUUGUUCUUGGAGGUUUCUGGGCAUGAACAUAUGAAACUAUUCUAUAAUUUUGGCAAAUUCUGAAGAUUUAUAGUUUGUUGUGAGGUGGCUUUACUUAUAUCUACAAAAGCUUCAAGAUAA